rnacentral:rRNA from 1 species
UACGUAGGGGACUAGCGUUGUCCGGAAUCAUUGGGCGUAAAGCGCGUGUAGGCGGUCCGGUAAGUCCGCUGUGAAAGUCGGGGGCUCAACCCUCGGAUGCCGGUGGAUACUGUCGGGCUUGAGUACGGAAGAGGCGAGUGGAAUUCCUGGUGUAGCGGUGAAAUGCGCAGAGAUCGGGAGGAACACCCGUAGCGAAGGCGGCACUCUGGGCCGGUACUGACGCUGAGGAGCGAAAGCGUGGGGAGCAAACAGG